rnacentral:rRNA from 1 species
GACGAACGCUGGCGGCGUGCUUAACACAUGCAAGUCGAGCGGUAAGGCCCUUCGGGGUACACGAGCGGCGAACGGGUGAGUAACACGUGAGCAAUCUGCCCUCCACAUCGGGAUAACCCCCGGAAACGGGAGCUAAUACCGGAUACGACCACUUCAGGCAUCUGAUGGUGGUGGAAAGUUCCGGCGGUGGAGGAUGAGCUCGCGGCCUAUCAGCUUGUUGGUGGGGUAAUGGCCCACCAAGGCUUCGACGGGUAGCCGGCCUGAGAGGGUGACCGGCCACACUGGGACUGAGACACGGCCCAGACUCCUACGGGAGGCAGCAGUGGGGAAUAUUGCACAAUGGGCGAAAGCCUGAUGCAGCAACGCCGCGUGCGGGAUGACGGCCUUCGGGUUGUAAACCGCUUUCAGCUCCGACGAAGCGCAAGUGACGGUAGGAGCAGAAGAAGGACCGGCCAACUACGUGCCAGCCGCCGCCGUAAAAC